rnacentral:rRNA from 1 species
UGGGGAAUUUUGGACAAUGGGCGAAAGCCUGAUCCAGCAAUGCCGCGUGUGUGAAGAAGGCCUUCGGGUUGUAAAGCACUUUUGUCCGGAAAGAAAUCCUUGGCUCUAAUACAGUCGGGGGAUGACGGUACCGGAAGAAUAAGCACCGGCUAACUACGUGCCAGCAGCCGCGGUAAUACGUAGGGUGCAAGCAUUAAUCGGAAUUACUGGGCGUAAAGCGUGCGCAGGCGGUUUGCUAAGACCGAUGUGAAAUCCCCGGGCUCAACCUGGGAACUGCAUUGGUGACUGGCAGGCUAGAGUAUGGCAGAGGGGGGUAGAAUUCCACGUGUAGCAGUGAAAUGCGUAGAGAUGUGGAGGAAUACCGAUGGCGAAAGGCAGCCCCCUGGGCCAAAUACUGACGCUCAUGCACGAAAGCGUGGGGAGCAAACAGGAUUAGAUACCCUGGUAGUCCACGCCCUAAACGAUGUCAACUAGUUGUUGGGGAUUCAUUCCUUAGUAACGUAGCUAACGCGUGAAGUUGACCGCCUGGGGAGUACGGUCGC